rnacentral:tRNA from 1 species
GCUCGGGUGGUGGAAUGGCAGACACGCCGGUCUUAGAAGCCGGUGCCGUAAGGCGUGAAGGUUCGAGUCCUUUCCCGAGCACCA